rnacentral:rRNA from 1 species
UGGGGAAUAUUGCACAAUGGGCGAAAGCCUGAUGCAGCAACGCCGCGUGAGUGAUGAAGGUCUUCGGAUUGUAAAGCUCUGUCUUUUGGGACGAUAAUGACGGUACCAAAGGAGGAAGCCACGGCUAACUACGUGCCAGCAGCCGCGGUAAUACGUAGGUGGCGAGCGUUGUCCGGAUUUACUGGGCGUAAAGGGUGCGUAGGCGGAUGUUUAAGUGAGAUGUGAAAUACCCGGGCUUAACUUGGGUGCUGCAUUUCAAACUGGAUAUCUAGAGUGCAGGAGAGGAGAAUGGAAUUCCUAGUGUAGCGGUGAAAUGCGUAGAGAUUAGGAAGAACACCAGUGGCGAAGGCGAUUCUCUGGACUGUAACUGACGCUGAGGCACGAAAGCGUGGGUAGCAAACAGGAUUAGAUACCCUGGUAGUCCACGCCGUAAACGAUGAGUACUAGGGUGUAGGAGGUAUCGACCCCUUCUGUGCCGCAGUAAACACAUUAAGUACUCCGCCUGGGAAGUACGAUCGCAAGAUUAAAAC